rnacentral:tRNA from 1 species
GGGGUUGUGGCUCAAUGGUAGAGCACUUGCCUAGCAUGUGUGAGGCGCUGGGUUCAAUCCUCAGUACCCCA